rnacentral:rRNA from 1 species
CUACGGGAGGCAGCAGUGGGGAAUAUUGCACAAUGGGGGAAACCCUGAUGCAGCAACGCCGCGUGAGUGAUGAAGGUCUUCGGAUUGUAAAGCUCUGUCUUCAGGGACGAUAAUGACGGUACCUGAGGAGGAAGCCACGGCUAACUACGUGCCAGCAGCCGCGGUAAUACGUAG